CCUACGGGAGGCAGCAGUAAGGAAUAUUGGUCAAUGGACGAAAGUCUGAACCAGCCAUGCCGCGUGAAGGAUUAAGGCCCUCUGGGUUGUAAACGUUCUUUUAUCUGGGUACGAAAAAAGGGUAUUCUUACUCACUUGACGGUACCAGAGGAAUAAGCACCGGCUAACUCCGUGCCAGCAGCCGCGGUAAUACGGAGGGUGCAAGCGUUAUCCGGAUUUACUGGGUUUAAAGGGUGCGUAGGUGGGCUUGUAAGUCAGUGGUGAAAUCUCCGGGCUUAACCCCGGGAAACUGCCCAUUGAUACUAUAGGUCUUGAAUUAUCUGGAGGUAAGCGGAAUAUGUCAUGUAGCGGUGAAAUGCUUAGAUAUGACAUAGAACACCAAUUGCGAAGGCAGCUUACUACGGAUAUAUUGACACUGAGGCACGAAAGGCGUGGGGAAUCAAACAGGAUUAGAUACCCUGGUAGUCCAACGCCCUAAACGAUGGAAUACUACGACACUACAGACGAGUACACUGUUGGUUGUUCGUGAGACGAAAGACAUUAAGUUAAGUACCCUACCCUACGGAAGGUAACGUAAUACGACAAGAAUUAGUAAACGUAACUAAAUAAGAAGUUAGUACGGACGUCGAGACGUAGGACCGAACGGACGACGACGAGGGAGGAGGG
rnacentral:rRNA from 1 species